CAGCAGUCGCCGCGGUAAUACAGAGGAUGCAAGCGUUAUCCGGAAUGAUUGGGCGUAAAGCGUCUGUAGGUGGCUUUUCAAGUCCGCCGUCAAAUCCCAGGGCUCAACCCUGGACAGGCGGUGGAAACUACCAAGCUGGAGUACGGUAGGGGCAGAGGGAAUUUCCGGUGGAGCGGUGAAAUGCGUAGAGAUCUGGAGGAAUACCGGUGGCGAAGGCGGCCCCCUGGACAAAGACUGACGCUCAGGUGCGAAAGCGUGGGGAGCAAACAGGAUUAGAUACCCGUGUAGUCCCUGUCUCUUAUAC
rnacentral:rRNA from 1 species